GACGAACGCUGGCGGCGUGCUUAACACAUGCAAGUCGAACGGUAAGGCCCUUCGGGGUACACGAGUGGCGAACGGGUGAGUAACACGUGGGUGAUCUGCCCUGCACUUCGGGAUAAGCCUGGGAAACUGGGUCUAAUACCGGAUAGGACCCUGGGAUGCAUGUCCUGGGGUGGAAAGCUUUUGCGGUGUGGGAUGGGCCCGCGGCCUAUCAGCUUGUUGGUGGGGUGAUGGCCUACCAAGGCGACGACGGGUAGCCGGCCUGGGAGGGUGACCGGCCACACUGGGGCUGAGAUACGGCCCAGACUCCUACGGGAGGCAGCAGUGGGGAAUAUUGCGCAAUGGGCGCAAGCCUGAUGCAGCGACGCGGCGUGAGGGAUGACGGCCUUCGGGUUGUAAACCUCUUUCAGCACCGACGAAGCGCAAGUGACGGUAGGUGCAGAAGAAGGACCGGCCAACUACGUGCCAGCCGCCGCAGUAA
rnacentral:rRNA from 1 species